AGGACGAACGCUGGCGGCGUGCUUAACACAUGCAAGUCGAACGGGGUCCAACCAGUGGCAACACUGGGGAAGAUCUAGUUGCGAACGGGUGAGUAACACGUGAGAAACCUGCCCCGGACUCAGGAAUAACAGUGGGAAACCGCUGCUAAUACCAGAUGCCGUCGCAGCAUCACAUGGUGCAGCGACGAAAGAAUUUCGGUUCGGGAGGGUCUCGCGGCCUAUCAGCUAGUUGGUGGGGUAACGGCCCACCAAGGCAUCGACGGGUAGCUGGUCUGAGAGGAUGAUCAGCCACACUGGGACUGAGACACGGCCCAGACUCCUACGGGAGGCAGCAGUGGGGAAUCUUGCGCAAUGGGCGAAAGCCUGACGCAGCAACGCCGCGUGCGGGAUGAAGGCCUUCGGGUUGUAAACCGCUUUCAGUAGGAACGAAAAUGACGGUACCUACAGAAGAAGGUCCGGCCAACUACGUGCCAGCAGCCGC
rnacentral:rRNA from 1 species